UACGUAGGUGGCAAGCGUUGUCCGGAUUUACUGGGCGUAAAGAGCGCGCAGGCGGUCGUUCAAGUCGCGUGGGAAAGCCCCCGGCUCAACUGGGGAGGGUCACGCGAUACUGAUCGACUCGAAGGCAGGAGAGGGUAGUGGAAUUCCCGGUGUAGUGGUGAAAUGCGUAGAUAUCGGGAGGAACACCUGUGGCGAAGGCGGCCACCUGGGCCGACCCUGACGCUGAGGCGCGAAGGCGUGGGGAGCGAACGGG
rnacentral:rRNA from 1 species